AAACUGUAUGUCUGAAAUGCCACCAAGCAAGACACUUACUAACUCCAAAGGUCUGCUGUUAUUAGUUAGUUUUGCUUGAAACUAUAUACAUUACUCACUGUUUAUAUAUGUUAUUUAUAUUGUGCAAAUGUUACUGUGCUGUUUUAUAUUUGUGUGUUAAGCUGUGCAUUAUGUGUUUUGUACUUGUUAAACCAGGUCGUCAACGUAAUUGGCCUACGCUGUGUUGACGUUCCUGUGCCGUUCUGUACUAUUGAGUAUUGUAAAUUUUGU